rnacentral:misc_RNA from 1 species
CGACAGUCUUUGGCGUGGAUUUCACUGUCGUAGUACUUGUCAGGGUAUGCUGGGGAACAUCAUUAACUCAAUGGGGUAUAUGUAGGUCAUAUUUACAACCAACUAUAGACAGUUGACAUUAUCAAAUCUGACUCACACCGAGAAACGAUCAUGGCGCAAGUACCCUCCCUGCUGGCUCUGCUGUUGACGGUCACACCCUAUGUUCACGCCCAGACUGCCUGCAGCGUCCGGCAAGACGCGGCGUGUGUGGCGGAGAUGAGAUCCCUCUACACCAACACCUCGGCCUACUGGUUUGGGACGAGGUUCGCGACGGACUGCCCACCGGGCAGAGUGGGAGUCUUGUGUAGAAAUCCUAGACCAUCAGGAACCUCCCUCAUCACUCGACUGCUGGGGGACAACGCCAACAACCCCAGCGGUGUAACCUUCGUCAUCAACGUCACUUACCCCAUUACUCUUCCGGCUGAUGGAUCUAACCGAACAUACCCCGGAUGUGGGAGGAUAGUGGACGUACCCUUGACAAGACCACAGAAUUUCUUGAUCGACCCCCUCGGCAGCACCGAAUAUCCCCCUUUCGACGUGCGCGAGCAGCCGGAAGUGACGUGGCCUGCGGAGGAUAACGCCCUCUACACUGUUAUGAUGUAUGACGCCGGCCUGUGCUACAUGCAUGCGUUGUACGUCAACGUCGCCGGCGGCAGACUGCAGGGUGGAGACACUAUAGUUCCCCACUUUGGGCCUGGCAAUCCCGUGGACCGGGCCAACCCGUACGUCUGGCUCGUGUUUAAGCAACAGAGGUCACUGGACGUCGCGACUGUCAACAACCUUUACACGACACUGAGCUCCCGCAACCAAUUCGUUGUCUUCGUGGAUGACUUCAUAUCGCCACUGGCGCUCUCAACGCAGUCGUAUGGCAUCAACGUGGUCAUGGUCAGAACGGACGAGUAUGCCGCUGCCAUCAUCCGAUCAAUUGGAUCUGUUAACAGGUGUCCAGCCUUUUAUGGGCAGUGGUUAAGCAGCUACAUUCAGAAAAGAGGUGGGCUCCCGUCACUUCCGGUGCGUUUCGAUCUCACUGUAUCCAUUGACGUCACCUUCACGGCCCCCGCUAUAACGUACACAUCGUGCGACAUUGUGUAUCAGAGAAGCCCCGUCAACGUCACUAUAGAUUAUCGGAGCAGGAAUCUAUUAUUAGGCGCCGUGGAGGCUCGGAUGUCCCCCGAAGUCAGUCUGGUUCCCGAGCAGCUCUCAGGUCAACCCCCGGCAGUCACACUGAGAGACAAGCAGUACACGCUGUUGAUGUACGACCCCACUCCGGAGCUGGGGAAAACUGAACAGGACGCCUACGUCCACUGGAUGGUGGUCAACAUCCGGGGUACUGACAUCACUUCCGGUGACGUGGUGUAUGAAUGGCUACUGCCCAUGACACCAGUAUUGAAUCAGCUCUACCUGUUUGCCUUGUUCGAGCAGACGACAUCUAUCAGCACCACAACAGCUGGAUCCUACGGGGCAACAGAUUGUCCUCCAUUUAUACCCAGGAGAUGCAAGUUCAGGGCUGGAGACUUGAAUUUGACAACAACCAACCCUGUCAUCUAAUAAUAGUGUAUGGUACAGAAUACUUAAAUACGAUGGUAAUCAAUUAUUGAUUAAUGACAUAAAAGACACACUUCCACAACAAUCCUUUUGGGACCCCUUCAGCUAAAUGUACAUAAUCCGUCUUCUUAUCUUUUGAUUAUUCCUCUCGCCUUCAAGGAACGUAAAUUGUCAUGUUACUCUCGAUCAUCUGAUAUUGUGCCUUUGAUUUGAUUUCCCCAUUAAAUCGUUUUUGAUAAAUCA